UUGGAGGGCAAGUCUGGUGCCAGCAGCCGCGGUAAUUCCAGCUCCAAUAGCGUAUAUUAAAGUUGUUGCAGUUAAAAAGCUCGUAGUUGAAUUUCGGGGUUAGUAGGUUGGUCAUGCCUCCGGUAUGUACUGGUCUCACUGAUUCCUCCUUCCUGAUGAACCGUAAUGCCAUUAAUUUGGUGUUGCGGGGAAUUUGGACUGUUACUUUGAAAAAAUUGAGUGUUUAAAGCAAGCUAACGCUUGAAUACAUUAGCAUGGAAUAAUGAAAUAGGACG
rnacentral:rRNA from 1 species